rnacentral:misc_RNA from 1 species
CAGAAUUAGAAUAACUGAAGGAAACUGCAAAACAAGACAUGCUACUGAAACUGUCACCAAACUAAAAAGGUUAACAAAAAAUAUUAUGGGUGGGGAAAAACCAAUAAACAAUUAUCAGGUAGAAUUUUUUCCAGUGAUGAAUCAGAGUCAUACACAGUGCAAAGUUGUAAAUGCUUACUGUUUAGAGCCUGGAAAUGGGAUG